rnacentral:rRNA from 1 species
AAUCCAUAGGUUAAUGAGGCGAACCGGGGGAACUGAAACAUCUAAGUACCCCGAGGAAAAGAAAUCAACCGAGAUUCCCCCAGUAGCGGCGAGCGAACGGGGAGGAGCCCAGAGCCUGAAUCAGCAUGUGUGUUAGUGGAAGCGUCUGGAAAGGCGCGCGAUACAGGGUGACAGCCCCGUACACAAAAGCGCAUGUGCUGUGAGCUCGAUGAGUAGGGCGGGACACGUGGUAUCCUGUCUGAAUAUGGGGGGACCAUCCUCCAAGGCUAAAUACUCCUGACUGACCGAUAGUGAACCAGUACCGUGAGGGAAAGGCGAAAAGAACCCCGGCGAGGGGAGUGAAAAAGAACCUGAAACCGUGUACGUACAAGCAGUGGGAGCACAGGUUUACCUGUGUGACUGCGUACCUUUUGUAUAAUGGGUCAGCGACUUAUAUUCUGUAGCAAGGUUAACCGAAUAGGGGAGCCGGAGGGAAACCGAGUCUUAAUUGGGCGUUAAGUUGCAGGGUAUAGACCCGAAACCCGGUGAUCUAGCCAUGGGCAGGUUGAAGGUUGGGUAACACUAACUGGAGGACCGAACCGACUAAUGUUGAAAAAUUAGCGGAUGACCUGUGGCUGGGGGUGAAAGGCCAAUCAAACCGGGAGAUAGCUGGUUCUCCCCGAAAGCUAUUUAGGUAGCGCCUCGUGAAUUCAUCUCCGGGGGUAGAGCACUGUUUCGGCUAGGGGGCCAUCCCGGCUUACCAACCCGAUGCAAACUGCGAAUACCGGAGAAUGUUAUCACGGGAGACACACGGCGGGUGCUAACGUCCGUCGUGAAGAGGGAAACAACCCAGACCGCCAGCUAAGGUCCCAAAGUCAUGGUUAAGUGGGAAACGAUGUGGGAAGGCCCAGACAGCCAGGAUGUUGGCUUAGAAGCAGCCAUCAUUUAAAGAAAGCGUAAUAGCUCACUGGUCGAGUCGGCCUGCGCGGAAGAUGUAACGGGGCUAAACCAUGCACCGAAGCUGCGGCAGCGAACGUAUCACUUAAAGCGAUUCAGCGGGUUACGAUUGACGGAGCGAAGCGACGUCAAAGCGUAUACAAAGUCGAGUCGGUUUAAGGAUACGUUCGUUGGGUAGGGGAGCGUUCUGUAAGCCUGUGAAGGUGGCCUGUGAGGGUUGCUGGAGGUAUCAGAAGUGCGAAUGCUGACAUAAGUAACGAUAAAGCGGGUGAAAAGCCCGCUCGCCGGAAGACCAAGGGUUCCUGUCCAACGUUAAUCGGGGCAGGGUGAGUCGACCCCUAAGGCGAGGCCGAAAGGCGUAGUCGAUGGGAAACAGGUUAAUAU